AUCAGUCUACACAAUCUUUCAUUUUCCUUUUCCUCAGUCAGCAUCAUCAAUUCACAUUUAAACAAACAAAUCGUAAUUCAUGCCAAACAGACAACAUACAGUAUCAGUUUUUCAGUCAUUCAACCCAUAAUUAAUAAAAACGUAGUAUAUGCACACAAAUCUGUAAAAUGAACACAUCAAACCUCAUUUUGCAUUUAAAGCUGUAAACAGGCCAAAUAACAGUAAAUCACCAAUCACACUAGACUCGGGCUCCAUUAGCCACCUUAAGCAAU
rnacentral:lncRNA from 1 species